rnacentral:misc_RNA from 1 species
AACGCAACUUGCGCCUUUCACGAGGCAUGUUUGUUUGAGUGCCGUAAUCCUCUGCAGCAAUGCGAUUUGGCUCUUGUCUUUGUUGACUGAGUUUAAAGGAAGCUAGAGGAUGGUCAGUUUAGACUAGUCCGAGUGCUAAGCAUUCUUGGGUCUAGAACUGGAUUGGUCAUUUUAUUUAUUUUUUAUUUUGGCCUCAAAUCAAGCAAGACUACCCGCUGAACUUAA